CAAGAAUUUCUCUGCUCUUCCUUCAUAUUGCCGUAGGCUUGCUAGGGUUUGUUUAUCCUCUUUCUCCUGCUAUUCGAUGCUUCAACUUCGCUUCGCGUGAGUUUUGAACGAGUCGCUAGAAGAGUUCUUCCCCUCCUUCGUGUUCCUUCCUGCCGGAUCAGAAGUCACGACAGUUCUCCGUUCUUCCUAUUGGAUCGGAAGUAACGACGAAGACAGGAGCUUGCUCGUUGCGAAGGUGAGAGAUGAUGGUUAAUUGUACGGCAAUCUCAAAGAUGUCUGUUCUUUCAUUCACCAUCAGAAAGUAUUGCUGGAGGCCAUCCCAGCUUUCUAGUGUGGUCUCUUUAUGUCAGAAGAAGAGACCUAACGGUCCUUUUGGUUGGAGAAUGUCACAAGACCUUGAGAAAACUUGCAAGGAGACAAGAAGCAAAGGCAGUACGCUGCUCGUGGCAUCAGACAGGUACAUCGAGAAAUCAGUUAAAGCAAUCAAAGAUGGAAAGGUUAUAGCAGUGCCCACUGACACACUUUAUGGAUUUGCUUGUGAUGCAUGUUCUGCAGCAGCAAUUAACCAGAUAUAUGAAGUCAAAGGGCGUAAAUUGACAAGCCCUCUUGCAAUAUGUGUUGCUGAUGUUUCAGAUAUACCUCGGUUUGCUAUUGUCGAUGGUUUACCUUGCGGUUUGCUUGAUGGUCUUCUACCUGGACCUGUUACUAUUGUUCUGAGGAGAGAUGAUUCCAGCAUUCUAGAGAAGUCACUAAACCCAGGUUUAGAUAGCAUUGGUGUUCGAGUACCAGACAAUAAUUUCAUUCGUGCGAUUGCUCGUGGUUCUGGAGGCGCAUUAGCUCUUACAAGUGCCAAUCUCACCGGACAAGCCAGUAGCAUCAGCCCAAAAGAUUUUGAGCAUCUAUGGCAUCACUGCGAAUAUGUUUUUGAUGGUGGCUUGCUUCAGGAUGGUCGUGCUGGUUCUACGGUGGUGGAUCUUACAAAGCCAGGUGCAUAUAAGAUUUUGAGGCCAGGAAGUGCCAGGGAUAAAACUGUUGCAGUGCUUCAUAGCUUCAGUUUGGAAGAAGGAAAUUGAGAAAAUAUAUCAUCUAGGAAUCAUUUAGCCCUGCUAUUCUUCAAUGAUGACUAUUCUGAUAUAUUCCUCUUGGAAAGCUGGUUAUAAGAAUGGAUGCAAGCUAAUUAUUCGAUCUGUUGUCAUGUUUCUCAUUCAGGGUAGCAUCUGUCAAUCAACAAGUGCAGCGGCUGAAAUUGAGAAUACCGCGCAUUAUUUCUGAGUGGAAAAUCUCAUUAUGAUAAUGCACAUGAAGAUUUAUAGAGAAGCAUGCAUAUCAAUCUGAUGGCCAAAGCUCAUUCUAACUGAAC